rnacentral:rRNA from 1 species
GACGAACGCUGGCGGCGUGCUUAACACAUGCAAGUCGAACGGAAAGGCCCUGCUUUUGUGGGGUGCUCGAGUGGCGAACGGGUGAGUAACACGUGAGUAACCUGCCCUUGACUUUGGGAUAACUUCAGGAAACUGGGGCUAAUACCGGAUAGGAGCUCCUGCUGCAUGGUGGGGGUUGGAAAGUUUCGGCGGUUGGGGAUGGACUCGCGGCUUAUCAGCUUGUUGGUGGGGUAGUGGCUUACCAAGGCUUUGACGGGUAGCCGGCCUGAGAGGGUGACCGGCCACAUUGGGACUGAGAUACGGCCCAGACUCCUACGGGAGGCAGCAGUGGGGAAUAUUGCACAAUGGGCGGAAGCCUGAUGCAGCAACGCCGCGUGCGGGAUGACGGCCUUCGGGUUGUAAACCGCUUUCGCCUGUGACGAAGCGUGAGUGACGGUAAUGGGUAAAGAAGCACCGGCUAACUACGUGCCAGCAGCCGCGGUGAUACGUAGGGUGCGAGCGUUGUCCGGAUUUAUUGGGCGUAAAGGGCUCGUAGGUGGUUGAUCGCGUCGGAAGUGUAAUCUUGGGGCUUAACCCUGAGCGUGCUUUCGAUACGGGUUGACUUGAGGAAGGUAGGGGAGAAUGGAAUUCCUGGUGGAGCGGUGGAAUGCGCAGAUAUCAGGAGGAACACCAGUGGCGAAGGCGGUUCUCUGGGCCUUUCCUGACGCUGAGGAGCGAAAGCGUGGGGAGCGAACAGGCUUAGAUACCCUGGUAGUCCACGCUGUAAACGGUGGGUACUAGGUGUGGGGUCCAUUCCACGGGUUCCGUGCCGUAGCUAACGCUUUAAGUACCCCGCCUGGGGAGUACGGCCGCAAGGCUAAAACUCAAAGGAAUUGACGGGGCCCCGCACAAGCGGCGGAGCAUGCGGAUUAAUUCGAUGCAACGCGUAGAACCUUACCUGGGUUUGACAUGGAUCGGGAGUGCUCAGAGAUGGGUGUGCCUCUUUUGGGGUCGGUUCACAGGUGGUGCAUGCCUGUCGUCAGCUCGUGUCGUGAGAUGUUGGGUUAAGUCCCGCAACGAGCGCAACCCUUGUUCACUGUUGCCAGCACGUUAUGGUGGGGACUCAGUGGAGACCGCCGGGGUCAACCCGGAGGAAGGUGGGGAUGACGUCAAGUCCUCAUGCCCCUUAUGUCCAGGGCUUCACGCAUGCUACAAUGGCUGGUACAGAGAGUGGCGAGCCUGUGAGGGUGAGCGAAUCCCGGAAAGCCGGUCUCAGUUCGGAUUGGGGUCUGCAACUCGACCUCAUGAAGUCGGAGUCGCUAGUAAUCGCAGAUCAGCAACGCUGCGGUGAAUACGUUCCCGGGGCU